rnacentral:rRNA from 1 species
CAGCCCCUACGGGGGGCAGCAGUGAGGAAUAUUGGUCAAUGGGCGGGAGCCUGAACCAUCCCCGCCGCGUGCGGGAAGAAGGUACAGCGUAUCGUAAACCUCUUUUGUCAGGGAACAAAGGCGGGGACUAGUCCCCGGAUGAGGGUACCUGAAGAAAAAGCAUCGGCUAACUCCGUGCCAGCAGCCGCGGUAAUACGGAGGAUGCGAGCGUUAUCCGGAUUUAUUGGGUUUAAAGGGUGCGCAGGCGGCCUGUCAAGUCAGCGGUAAAAGCCCGGGGCUCAACCCCGGCGAGCCGUUGAAACUGG